rnacentral:rRNA from 1 species
UACGUAGGGUGCAAGCGUUAAUCGGAAUUACUGGGCGUAAAGCGUGCGUAGGCGGUUUGUUAAGUCUGUUGUGAAAUCCCCGGGCUCAACCUGGGAAUGGCAAUGGAUACUGGCAGGCUAGAGUGUGUCAGAGGAUGGUGGAAUUCCCGGUGUAGCGGUGAAAUGCGUAGAGAUCGGGAGGAACAUCAGUGGCGAAGGCGGCCAUCUGGGACAACACUGACGCUGAAGCACGAAAGCGUGGGGAGCAAACAGG